ensembl:lncRNA
UGCUUAUUCCCAGGUGAGAGCAACCCAUGAUAUUUUCUUGGUCUGGGAGCCUCCUUAAGUCCUAGACGUUUGCCACUAGCAAUGACAACACUGUGGCAUAAAUACAGAGGGGAGAUAAAAAGGUGAAUGAGAUGAACACCAGUUCCAAACUACCUGCAUUACUAACAGGCUUAUGUUUUACCAUCACAACUAAUCCAGGCAUUAUCGAAAGGCUUUCAUCACAUCUGGGAGAAGAGCUAUAUCUACUGCAGAGAAAAACAACAGUGAAGACAUUUACAUUGCUCAGGAAGCCACAAUGAAAAUAACAGUUCCGAGAUUGAGUUCUUGAAGUAGAAAUCAAACACCAGAUUACUUAACUGAAAUACAUCAUCUUCAAGCAAUGAGAGAGCCCUCACUCACAGCACAACGAGACUGCAUGCCUGAGGAGCGACUUUUGGUUUGCCAUAGCACAUCACAGAGCAAAAAACUCUGGUAUGCAACUUUGAUUUUGGGAAGUUGGCUUCUGAAGCCAUUUAAGCUUCACCCAUGAAUGCCAGAGAAGCAUCAACUCCUCUCCUUGGCUUACACUCCUCUUUCACAUUGAUUGCAUGUUUAAAAUUCUGAGUGAUAUUUUAGCACAACAGAAGUACAAAUCUUAACUAUUCAAGUGAAUAAAUACUGCAUGUCAUUCAAUACCAUGCUUACAGACACUAUUUGCAAGUUUAAUGUAUUCUGCUUACUGCUUGUGGAACAGGGCACCAAAUGAUGCCUGCUUCACAUAUGCUAGAGCCGUGCUAGCCAGGGAGAAAUUAUUUAUGCAGUGCAUUGGGAUUUGCAAGGAGGGAGAACGAAAGAGUAUGUCUACAUCUGGGGUUGCUACAAGGCCAGAGGCAUUGGAAGAGAUUAGUGUUCUACAGAGGCACUCAGAAAAAGCAGCAACAAAUGGACAGUCUACAUUAACCAAGGCAACCAUUUCAGUGUCUCCAUAACAAGGAAUUACCAUCUUUCCUACCUGACUGUUCAGAAGAAUGACAAGAAGGAAAUUGGUGGUUUCUUUCCUCCAUCCUGGACAAGAUACUUUGGCACCACUGAGUAGUGUUAGGAAGAAGGAUGAAAGACAUAUUCUAGCCUCUCUCACUGAGUUUGCAAUGGAGAUCACAACUAUUGAUAAAUGUGUUGUCAAACUGGCAGUGUAAUGUUUGCUCAUUUGAGUUCAUUUGUCUCCAUAGAAUCCAUCAGGAAAAAUUAAUAUCCUGGCUGGCAAUAAGGUUUUUUCAGAGCCAAGUCUUCCAGCUUGCCUGCAGGGAAUUCAUUGCCUUUCAGUAUGAUUGAAGGCCUGUACAUCACUGCUUAUCUGCACCUCAUUAAAUUGGUACUGAAAGACUUCAGAGUGGCUUCCUUCCUAGUGAUACCGUGACAGUCAGAGCUUGGUGUUGCCAUGAAGAAAGGGCUACUGCAUGUCAAAAUCAGACAUCUGCUGCAGCUAGAGGUAGCUCUUACUGGAAGCCAUGAAGGCAGGUAAAUAAGCAUUUAAGUACCAACUUUCUAUACUAUUUCCCACUACUUAGUCACUAUCCUCCUCUAUCCCUUAAUAAUAGGAAACUGAUAACAUGCUACAUUUUUUUUUUCAGCCUGGUUUGCUUUUUUCCUUUCCUAGAUGAUUUCAAGAAAAAUUGGGCACAUAGCAAAUUAUCUCAUGUUCCAGUUAGCAUGGAAAUCUUCAUCUCCAAAGCCUCUGUCUUAGCACAGGCAGCUCAUGCCCUUUGCAUCAAGGCAAGUACCUAAAUACAUCUGAAGACCUUAUCUACCAAUUUACAGAUGAGGAGGGGAUGGAAAAAAAGACCAACUUUGGAACAUGACCAUGAGAAAGAUGCUUAUGUUUGCAGGUCAACACUUACAAAUGAAAGGAAAAAAGUCUCAUGGAGCGUGUACUGAGAGCAGUUCCCUGGUUAUUCUGUAUGCAGGUCCAAGCAUAAAAUAUUAUUUGUGAAGCUAAGAUAGCUAUGUCUUUUCUCACAGAACAACAGAAACUUGUGCAUCUUUAUGGAUUAUCAAAUGUCUGCUUUUCAUCUUCACCCUCCUCUGACUUUACCCUCCAGAAAACAGGUUGAAGCCACAUCUCUUCUUAAAUAACUGGCAACUCAUCAUUUACUAAUUGUUAGGAGGUGCUGCUGUUCAUAAUGCAUCACGUAUCACUGCUAAGGCUCUACAAGAAUAAACCAUCAAAGAUUUAG